GAAGAGAGCUGGGUGGAGGUGCCGAGAACACUGGGCUGCCUCCUACCAUCUAGCUUGCAGUCCAACAUAUGCCUGUCCAGGAGAGGAGAUAUGAAAUGUGAACUGAAUGAAUGUCAGAAAAGACAGAGUGAUCAAAUGACAUAGAAGUUUGCAGGAAGAUGAAAUUUCUCCUCUGUACUUGGAGCCAAGAAGCCUCUCUGAUAGGCCUUUUCCAUGCAGAAGCUAAUGGGAUCACAUUUAACAUUAGGUAAUGAUGAGGUGCCAGGAUGCAGUCCAGUGGGACAGCUGUGUACACUGCCACUACCCUCACCACUGCUUCCCAAAGGACCCUGUGGACAGUCUCCCCUGAGUCCAGGUUACAACAAGCUUGAUGAAUGCAAACCACAUGGCUCCUUUAGCAUUUCAUCUUGCUCAUGACUGAAGGCCCUCUUUAGAGGAAAGAGAAAAUAUACUGCAAUCGAUCUUUUAAAGUAUUGUAACAUUCCAAGUGUCAAUAUUGGUUUGAAAUGAUUGCAUCAUUUUCUGAAAUAAUGAUUUGUGUGAGGCAUGUCAUGAAUUAUAAUUAAUGUACAUAUGCAUUGAAGUCCACUUGCAAAGAAACCCUCUUUUCUCUCUCAAACAUUGGAAAUUAAAUAUUUAUACUUGUUGUGAUUUCAUAUAUACAUAGUUAAUAUUGCCUCUCAAAGCCACCUGCUCUGCAUCAUAUGUCAUUUUCUCUGCUGAUUCUUCAUAACCCAUAUAUUUGGAGUUGGAUGAGGCCAUUUGAAAAUCUUACCAGAGAUUAUACAUACACACACACACACACACACACACACACACACACACACACAGAGUGGAAAGCUCUAGUUAGAUCCAUUUCAGUAAAACAUAGGAAAUAAAUGGGUUAUCGAUAGUCUCAUUGCUUUAAAGGAUAUCUUCUUACAGUCUAAUUCAUUAAAGGAUUUAAGAGUUUACCUUUUAGUCCUUGAGCUUGAAUUACUGAGUGGUCGUGGUGGUUGUUCAGUCACUAAGUCAUAUCCGACUCUUUGUGAUCCCUUGGACUGCAACACACCAG